GGCGGCGUGCCUAACACAUGCAAGUCGAGCGCGAAAGGGUAGCAAUAUCCUAGUAGAGCGGCGAACGGGUGAGUAACACGUGGUUAACCUGCCGAGAUGUGGGGGAUACCCCGGGGAAACCCGGGCUAAUACCGCAUGAUGUCUUCCGGGCGUCGGCCUGGAAGAGCAAAGCCGGGGACCGUAAGGCCUGGCGCAUUUCGAGGGGACCGCGGCCGAUUAGCUAGUUGGCGGGGUAACGGCCCACCAAGGCAACGAUCGGUAGCCGGCCUGAGAGGGUGAUCGGCCACACCGGAACUGAGACACGGUCCGGACUCCUACGGGAGGCAGCAGUGGGGAAUUUUGCGCAAUGGACGAAAGUCUGACGCAGCAACGCCGCGUGGAGGAUGAAGGUUCUCUGAAUCGUAAACUCCUGUCGGCCGGGAAGAAUGGUCGGGGUGCUAAUCAACCCCGAUUUGACUGUACCGGCAAAGGAAGCCCCGGCUAACUCCGUGCCAGCAGCCGCGGUAAUACGGA
rnacentral:rRNA from 1 species